rnacentral:pre_miRNA from 1 species
CAGGGGGGGGGUGGGUCCCUCAGCCUGGAUUGCAAGAAGGCGCAGGUCAGGCUGAGGGAGCCCACUGAUGCACG